UGAUUGUCCUUUAAAAGUAAGUUUUCUUCUUCCUUAUGAAAAAUGGAAUAAAUCAAUCAAUCAAGUUUUGACAAUCUUCAUGAAGUGCUUCUUUUAGAGUUAAACUCUCAUUUGUUCGUAUUUCGAGAAACGAUGUCUAUUAUUUUUCAUUCUAAUUUUCACAAGAUGGAAUACUAUGAUUCACAUUUCCAAAAGGCAUGAACACAUCAUCUAUUGAUAACUUCCAUCUUGAAAGUUAUGUGGCAUUUUGAUAAGAUAUCAUUUUCAUUGCAAUUUCCAUAAG
rnacentral:lncRNA from 1 species